rnacentral:misc_RNA from 1 species
AUAACGUGAACGAUUGUUGUUGUUUUGUUAAGGCAAAGUCUCUCUAAUAAGCUGUUAUACAUCAAAUGCUUUAUUAUUUCAUACGGCUAAAAUUUUUUUUUUGUCAAUAUGGUUUUAUCACUAUCACAUAAAGGAGAAAGAAUUAUUCAUGUUAUUAUUAUUCUGGAUUGCAUAAACUGACUAUUGAGAAUUAGAAGGAUUUUACUGUGCAAAA